rnacentral:rRNA from 1 species
ACAUCCAGCGAACUUGGCAGAGAUGCCUUGGUGCCUUCGGGAACGCUGAGACAGGUGCUGCAUGGCUGUCGUCAGCUCGUGUUGUGAAAUGUUGGGUUAAGUCCCGCAACGAGCGCAACCCUUAUCCUUUGUUGCCAGCGAUUCGGUCGGGAACUCAAAGGAGACUGCCGGUGAUAAACCGGAGGAAGGUGGGGAUGACGUCAAGUCAUCAUGGCCCUUACGAGUAGGGCUACACACGUGCUACAAUGGCGCAUACAAAGAGAAGCGACCUCGCGAGAGCAAGCGGACCUCAUAAAGUGCGUCGUAGUCCGGAUCGGAGUCUGCAACUCGACUCCGUGAAGUCGGAAUCGCUAGUAAUCGUGGAUCAGAAUGCCACGGUGAAUACGUUCCCGGGCCUUGUACACACCGCCCGUCACACCAUGGGAGUGGGUUGCAAAGGAAGUAGGUAGCUUAACCUUCGGGAGGGCGCUUACCACUUUGUGAUUCAUGACUGGGGUGAAGUCGUAACAAGGUAAGCGUAGCGAG